rnacentral:rRNA from 1 species
AGCUCCAAUAGCGUAUAUUAAAGUUGUUGCAGUUAAAAAGCUCGUAGUCGGAUUUCAGGGCAGGGCGACCGGUCUGCCGAUGGGUAUGCACUGGUCGACUUGUCCUUCCUUCUGGAGACCGUGCCUACUCUUAACUGAGCGGGGACGGGAAACAGAUCGUUUACUUUGAAAAAAUCAGAGUGUUUAAAGCAGGCCAAGAUUGCUCUUGCAUGGAUUAGCAUGGGAUAAUGAAAUAGGACUUUGGUGCUAUUUUGUUGGUUUCGAACACCGAAGUAAUGAUUAAUAGGGAUAGUCAGGGGCACUCGUAUUCCGUCGAGAGAGGUGAAAUUCUCAGACCAAUGGAAGACGAACUACUGCGAAAGCAUUUGCCAGGGAUGUUUUCA